rnacentral:rRNA from 8 species
AAAUUGAAGAGUUUGAUCAUGGCUCAGAUUGAACGCUGGCGGCAGGCCUAACACAUGCAAGUCGAACGGUAACAGGAAGCAGCUUGCUGCUUUGCUGACGAGUGGCGGACGGGUGAGUAAUGUCUGGGAAACUGCCUGAUGGAGGGGGAUAACUACUGGAAACGGUGGCUAAUACCGCAUAACGUCGCAAGACCAAAGAGGGGGACCUUCGGGCCUCUUGCCAUC